CAAGUACGAAAUUGUGAAAAAGUAAAGUUGUCACUAAUUUAUACAUUUAGGGACAACAAAAUAGAAUUCGUAUGUAAAAGGUAGUUUUUAGUGACGAAAUAAUAUUUAUUUAGCUACGAAGUACAUAUAACUUUCGAGACAAAUUACGUCGUCACUAAUUAAACAAAAUAGUUAGUGACGUAUCAGUUUCGUCGGCAUUAAUAACCUCUUUAGUGACGAAAACAUUCUAUUACCUACAAAAUUUUAUAAUUUUCAUGACGAACUUGUUCGUCAUAAAUACUAUGCAUUUGGGGACGAAAAAUAUAUCCGUGGUUAAUACAACUCUAUUUAGCGACGAAACACUAAGUUGUCGUUGUAUACAUUUAGUGACAUAUGCUUUAGGACGAAUGGUUGACGAUUUGUUUUUCGUCACGAAAGGUUUUUUGUGACGAAAUUUGAGCUGAUAAAGCAAUUUGCUGUAGUGCCUUUUGAGAGAAUUUACUAGUUCAAAGCUACUUCACAUCUACCGUGAAGUGAAAAGUUCAAAUGGAGAACCAGUAGAUAAUGUUCUAUUAUUUUUUUAAUCCACUCCCAGUUAAUUUUUUUUGAAUAUACUGUACAAGACUUAAAUGGAACAAAAUAGGACAAUUCCAUUAUUUAACACAUAAUUAGUGUUUUAAUAAUAUUAUCUUAUCGAAGCCAAAAAAGGUUGAAAUCAACAGGAAAAUUUUCAAGAUCUGGGGGGUCAGUUUGAAAUGGCCGUGUCGAUCCAUGACUAAAACAUUUGUACAUUCCUAAUAUAUGGCAGAGCCAUAAAGCUCCCUCAAGGUCGUCAUGCCUGCUUGAUGAUGCAGGGACAUUUAGGUCUUCUCACUAAUUCUGUGUUUUUGAAAUAUUAGGUAGAGUUUUGUACAGCCUUACACGUGCCCUAGAAUUUGCUGACUACGUUGGUUGAGAUAAAGACGCACUUGAAGUGGUGGACUUAGACGAGACUUGAACUUCUCAUCGUUUUCGUUAAAUUUCAUAUAUGUUCUCAAUCUCUCCAUCGUCUCUUCCGUUCUGGAGUUUUCAAUUUCUCCCCGUAGUUGCUUGAUUAUAAUUACUUUUACAAUAUACUGUCCAUCUUACUAUCUUAGUCCCACUAUUACUAUGAUAUUUUGCUUUAUGGAUUUUUAGUAUUUUUUUGUUAUAGAAUUUGUUACCCAUUUCUUUUUCCUUUUCAUGUUUUGGGGGUAUGGAAUUUGAACAGCUUCUUUUCAUGGACAAUUUAUUUUAACAGCUUUUCUUUAUCUAAUUAGAUGCUAAUUGCUGGUUAACAUUCUUUUAACAAAGAUAUUCGUGCUUCCUACUGAUUUAUUUUAGCCAUAUUAGUCGUUAUUCUUCUGUUUGCAGGUCAUUUAAUUGACAAACUUAUUGUUGGAACAGAUAAAGUAGACAAUAAUUGUGGAUGUUUCGCUGGAGGAUCUUCGAUUUGCAUAUUGCGAAGCAAUUCAAGCCGACAAAACUAAUCACCAUGAAAGCUAUCCGGGAAGACUUCUGUAGCUAUCACAACUACUGACUAAUGGCUGCAUGCGCGUGUAUAAUACAUUAAUAUCGAUUUACGAUGUUAUCAUACCAAAAUGAAUACUUGCAAUUUAUUAUAGUUUCUUAUUUGACCAUUUCUCUUGUUAAUUCUGGUGUCCUAGAUUCUCUAACAACACCUUGAAUUUGAUUCAUCAUAUGUUUAGAUACAUUAUUGUCAACGCACACCGACAAAGUUAUGGAUGUUAUACUGUCGUAUUUGAGCUUUAAUAUGAAUUAUAUUAGAAUAUCUCAAAUUUCAGAUCACAUCAUUUGACUAACUGAUCACUUAUCUUAUUUCGUUUUCCAUAAUGUUAAUAGUUGCUCAUCACUACUUUUGAUUCUUGGACUAAUUAAAAAUGACAAGCUUUACGUGCUCAAAAUGGACAAUCCAACGCUAUCUGUUUCACUUCGUUACAUAUUCAUGAAUGCAUUUACAUAGUCAAAAUAGUUUUCACUCAUGAUUUUUUUUUUUAACGAUCUAUGUUGUUUUAUUACGUUAUCUUUUGCUCUUCGGUCCUACAGCCAACCAAAGGUGGUCAACAUACGGCACGUGAAUAAGCUCUGUUAAAGGUGUUUUCCAGAGAAUAAAUCUUACAUACUGCUUUUAAUUCCGGCUUUGUCUUGGUGAUCUUGUAUAAUUAUGAUAUGUGUCCCUUCCUCGAGAGAAAUGCAUAUAUAUCUUCGCGUGGACAUAUGGGUAUCAUCUUGUAUCCUAUUGCCAAAGAAAGAACUCCCUGGUCCAACUCAGUAGCAAUAUAGCAGUGCGGUCCCCCUCUUCCCUCUCUUCAUAUAUGUGUGUAUUUUAUCACUUAACUGUGCUAAAUAACAUAUGAUUUAGUCUAACGUUUAAUAGAAAUACUUAUUCAUAUUUUCUCUUUCAUCACAAUGGUAAAGUUCCAACACUACCAAAAGUGAUGACAAUGGAUCUUAAAAAAAGGGUGAUCACUUGCAUCAAGUAGUCCGGCAUUUGCUUUUUUAGGACGACUCAUAUUGAUAAAUAAUUAAUUAGCUAUAGUUAUGGUUUUAACUGCACUGCAACAUAAAUCAUCACCUCAGUGGCUUCUUGGAAAGAUUAGGGAACCUUGCCCAAAGAUCGAGCUAAUUAAAGUAAUACAACAUAUUACAGUUUUACUAGGAGGAUGAUAUUAGUUGUCAUGAUUAUUGGUAAGUAUUAUUUGGCUACAAAUCUUUCGCAAAACUUAAGCACCAAGGAGUCCAUGCCAUUCAAAAAAGGAAGAUGCAACGGAAAUAACUGCAAAUUGACUUCAUACUGGAACAAUCACAGUCAAACUUUUUCAUCAUAUGGUAGCUGUUGAUAGCUUUACCUCUUUUUUGUAUAAGGUAGUUGCUACCUAUUUAAAUCUUCUUUCUCUUUGCCACAUUCUUUCUCCAUACUUCCCUAAUUAUUUUUGCUCUUUAAUUGUAGAAUAGAUACUAGAGCUACCAUUUUAAAGCUACUGUUAUAGAAAAGAAGAGUUGUUUAAUUUGAAAGGACCUGGAACUAGAAAGCUCGAGGAAAUGGGAAAAGCGGUAUGACUAUGCUUAUUACCAUGAUCUUGGAGAUACAAAGCUUCACUUUAUGUCCGACCAGUUCUUGGAGGAUCUGCAAAAUAUUCUUAUUCGCGAAAGGGAAAGAACUAAAAGACCACAUUCAUACAAAGCUCCUAAUGGUGAAAGCUGACCGCCAGCAAGAGCUUGCAAUUUAAGUCCAGAGGAUGAUAAUAUUUUGGCCUUAAAAGUUCUCUUAUGCCAUUAGUAACACGCAAAAAGACAAUGCACAACUCUUUGGUUCUUAGCUUGCCUAAGGAAACCUCACUCUAUUAAUUUCACAAAUGUAGUGAAGUCUGAAAUUAAGUUUACCAACAAGGAGCUUCAGGUUUUCUGAAGUAUCCAACGCCACACGUUAUUAGAGGCGAUUUGACUCUAACUAGACCCGUUACUAUAAUUUGUCAAUGGUGUUGCGUUUUUGUACAUUGUUGAAACAGAGGAUAAGUAAGCGUGCGUGUCAGAUGAAGAAUUUGGAAGAAAAAUGUGGGUUAAGCUCCUAGUUGGCCAUAGAUUUUGAGAAAGAUAUUUUGAAAAUUUGUUUUUUAAAUCUUUGUUUGGCCAUAAACUUUUAACAGAUUUUGAAAAUAAAUCUUCAAAUUUCCAAAUUUUGGCUCAAACCUGUUAGUUUUGGCCUUUACAAAACUUUCAACAAACUCCCCAAAACUUUUGUAUUUUACAAAAGGAAAAUCUAUCUAUUUAUGACCCAAUUAAUUCUAUCUAUCAUAUUCCUUAAUUAAAGUCGUAUUUAUCAUGUUUCCACCAUUAAAAUAGUCUAUUUUAUAAAGUAAAAAUUGUUGUACAAUGUGGGCAGAUUAUAUUAAAGAAUAGUCAGUUACUAUCGUAGUUUUUUUUCUUGAGCGGAUGGAUCUUUGUAUGGUAAUUUGAAUUGUAGU